UCCGCUGACGAGUGGCGCACGGGUGCGUAACGCGUAUACAAUCUGCCUUUAAGCGGGGAAUAGCCCAUGGAAACGUGGAUUAAUACCCCAUAGUAUGUAGACUUCACCUGGAGACUACAUUAAACAUUUAUGGCUUAAAGAUGAGUAUGCGUCCUAUUAGUUAGUUGGUAAGGUAACGGCUUACCAAGACCGCGAUAGGUAGGGGUCCUGAGAGGGAGAUCCCCCACACUGGUACUGAGACACGGACCAGACUCCUACGGGAGGCAGCAGUGAGGAAUAUUGGACAAUGGAGGCAACUCUGAUCCAGCCAUGCCGCGUGCAGGAAGACGGCCCUAUGGGUUGUAAACUGCUUUUAUACGGGAAGAACCACAUCUACGUGUAGAUGCUUGACGGUACCGUAUGAAUAAGGACCGGCUAACUCCGUGCCAGCAGCCGCGGUAAUACGGAGGGUCCAAGCGUUAUCCGGAAUCAUUGGGUUUAAAGGGUCCGUAGGCGGAAUAAUAAGUCAGUGGUGAAAGUCUGCAGCUCAACUGUAGAAUUGCCAUUGAUACUGUUGUUCUUGAAUUAUUAUGAAGUGGUUGGAAUGAGUAGUGUAGCGGUGAAAUGCAUAGAUAUUACUCAGAACACCUAUUGCGAAGGCAGAUCACUAAUAAUAUAUUGACGCUGAGGGACGAAAGCGUAGGUAGCGAACAGGAUUAGAUACCCUGGUAGUCUACGCCGUAAACGAUGGUUACUAGCUGUCCGGCCUAAU
rnacentral:rRNA from 1 species